rnacentral:rRNA from 1 species
AUGAACGAGUCACUUUGUAAACCGUAUACUAAAACAGAAAUUUCGGAUGCCCUAUUUCAGUUCGGGCCAUUAAAAGCCCCGGGGUGUGAUGGUUUCCCGGCAAGAUUCUAUCAGCGAAACUGGGCGACCUUGAAGGUGGAUAUUGUGGCGGUGGUGCAGGACUUUUUCAUCACUGGCAUUAUGCCGGACGGAGUUAAUGACACGGCGAUCGUUCUGAUUCCAAAAGUUCCCCAUCCAAAGGAGUUAAAGGAUUUCAGACCGAUUAGUCUGUGCAACGUGGUGUAUAAGGUGGUCUCUAAAUGCAUGGUGAAUAGACUACGACCUCUCCUGGCUGGACUCAUUUCCGAAAACCAAAGUGCUUUUAUUCCAGGGAGGCUCAUAUCUGACAACUCCAUCAUUGCGUUCGAGUGUAUUCAUCAUAUCCAGACAGCAAAAAGCAAUUCGCCCGCCUUAUGUGCCUAUAAGCUUGAUCUAUCCAAGGCCUAUGAUCGGGUGGAUUGGGAAUUCUUAGAGAAGGCGUUAGCUAAAUGUGGCUUUUCUCCGGUCUGGAUUUUCUCGGGUGAUGGCAUGUGUGUCUUCGGUGACAUAUUCGGUAAAGUUUAA